AGCAGCCGCGGUAAUUCCAGCUCCAAUAGCGUAUAUUAAAGUUGUUGCAGUUAAAAAGCUCGUAGUUGAAUUUCGGGAUCAAUAUAUCGGUCGUGCCUUCGGUACGUACUGGUAUCAUUGGUCUCUCCUUUCUGACGAACCAUGAUGUCAUUAAUUUGGUGUUAUGGGGAGUUAGGACUGUUACUUUGAAAAAAUUAGAGUGUUUAAAGCAGGCUUUAGCUUGAAUACAUUAGCAUGGAAUAAUGAAAUAGGACGUUCGAACCUAUUUUGUUGGUUUCUAGGAUCAACGUAAUGAUUAAUAGGGAUAGUUGGGGGCAUUAGUAUUCAAUUGUCAGAGGUGAAAUUCUUGGAUUUAUUGAAGACUAACUACUGCGAAAGCAUUUGCCAAGGAUGUUUUCAUUAAUCAAGAACGAAAGUUAGGGGAUCGAAGACGAUCAGAUACCGUCGUAGUCUUAACCAUAAACUAUGCCGACUAGGGAUCGGAUGAUGUUAAUUUUUUUAAUGACUCA
rnacentral:rRNA from 1 species